rnacentral:lncRNA from 1 species
CUUAAAACCGGAGACUGUGACCUGGGCGCUUGUUAAACUUGAGACGCAUUGAAGUGUUGGUGGGAGACUCUGACCUGGGCGCACGUGAAGUGCUGGCUUGAUGGCAGAUUGUGACCUGGGGCCCACAAGGCUGACGGCGGGAGGUCAUAGGCCCACAAACCAAUUUUGGGCGAUAUUUUCGGAAAAAUCGUCUAUUUAUCACCGAUAUUUAGGCGAAAACAAGAACAUUUAUCUCCAUAUACAGAUAUAUCGGAUAUUUUUUACGAUUUUUAUUGAUUUUUCUGCUUUCCGAUCCAUAUAUUUUCCGAUUUUUAUUGAUUUUUCUGCUUUCUGAUAUAUUUUCCAUCAAUUCUUUACAAUACAUAAUUGAUGAAAAUAUCGCGAUAUUUUCUUCCAUACCAAUCAUAGCAGAUAUGAAUGAAGAGAUGGGGGCUGUAGCUUUCCCAUUCUACACUUUUCCUGCUAAAAACUAUUUUGUUGGUUAGCUGCCUUGACGUUACACAGAGAGAGAUUAGCGGCCCUGACAUUACACACACACAGACACCCCUGACGUUACAGAGACAGAGAUUCUUCUUGGGAAACGGAGAAUGAGAGACAUUCUUAGAGGGGAAGAAAGAGGGUGGCCGACUGCCCGCCUUUUAUAGAGGCCGAAAUUGCCGGUAUUUCGGAGAAUCGGAAAUAAACAAUCCCUGACAUUUCGGAAUUCCGGGCGAUCAUUGCCAAAAACGUAAUCAGCGAGAUUUGGAAAAGGAUGACCGAAACGCGGACACGAUGUCUUGACGCGUUAUGGGGUCAUCCGUCACCUUCUUUAAACGUAGUCCACAUAAUUAGACUCACCUCUCCAUGCAAAGCAAGGCAGAGGGAUCCAUCCCUAUAAAUAAAGUGCCCAUGUUGAGGUUGGUCAAAUCAAAAUAUGGUAUUCCUCUACGUUCAUCACAAAUUCUUUUCUACAUCCCAAUACAUCAAAUGUCAAG